GACGAACGCUGGCGGCGUGCUUAACACAUGCAAGUCGAACGGUGAAGCGCCUUCCUUUUUGGUGGGUGUGGAUGAGUGGCGAACGGGUGAGUAACACGUGAGUAACCUGCCCCCUUCUUCUGGAUAACCGCAUGAAAGUGUGGCUAAUACGGGAUAUUCUGGGUCUGUCGCAUGAUGGGUCUGGGAAAGAUAUUGUUUCGGUGGGUGAUGGGCUCGCGGCCUAUCAGCUUGUUGGUGGGGUGAUGGCCUACCAAGGCGGUGACGGGUAGCCGGCCUGAGAGGGUGGACGGUCACACUGGGACGGAGACACGGCCCAGACUCCUACGGGAGGCAGCAGGGGGGAAUAUUGCACAAUGGGCGCAAGCCUGAUGCAGCGACGCCGCGUGAGGGAUGGAGGCCUUCGGGUUGUGAACCUCUUUCGCCAGUGAAGCAGGCCUGCCUCGUUUGUGGGUGGGUUGACGGUAGCUGGAUAAGAAGCGCCGGCUAACUACGUG
rnacentral:rRNA from 1 species